rnacentral:rRNA from 1 species
CCUACGGGAGGCAGCAGGGAGGAAUAUUGGACAAUGGGCGCAAGCCUGAUCCAGCCAUGCCGCGUGCAGGAAGACGGUCCUAUGGAUUGUAAACUGCUUUUGUACAGGAAGAAACACUCCCUCGUGAGGGAGCUUGACGGUACUGUAAGAAUAAGGAUCGGCUAACUCCGUGCCAGCAGCCGCGGUAAUACGGAGGAUCCAAGCGUUAUCCGGAAUCAUUGGGUUUAAAGGGUCCGUAGGCGGUUUAAUAAGUCAGUGGUGAAAUCUGGUCGCUCAACGACCAAACGGCCAUUGAUACUGUUAGACUUGAAUUAUUAGGAAGUAACUAGAAUAUGUAGUGUAGCGGUGAAAUGCUUAGAUAUUACAUGGAAUACCAAUUGCGAAGGCAGGUUACUACUAAUGGAUUGACGCUGAUGGACGAAAGCGUGGGGAGCGAACAGGAUUAGAUACCCUGGUAGUCCACGACGUAACGA